rnacentral:lncRNA from 1 species
AAACUAUUUACGCAAUAUAAUAAACUUUAGUUUCACUUUUUUUUUUAUCUAUAACAAAUUUUCGUAAAAAUAUGAAUAUAAAAACCAAUAUUCAACCUUGUAUUGUUUUUUACCUCAGAAACAUUAAAAAUAUUAUCAUUUUUUAAAUUUCUACUCUAAAAUUUUUUGUAGAAAACCAACCUAAAAGUUGAUACAUUCUCGGAUAUUUAAAAGAUAAAUAUGUGUUAUGCAAUAAUUGAGCGGAACUAAAAAGAAAAAGAAAAGUAGGAAAAGUUUAUGAAUGUUAAUGGGAUGAUUUGCUUUUUAGUUAAUUAUGUAAGGAAAACCAUUGUUUUUAAAAUUAAUAUAAAAUCUCAUAAACAAUUUCAAUAAUUUAAUAGCAACUUUGUAAACAAUAUAUUAUUAAUGAAAAUCUUAUCAACUUACUAAAUUGAAUUAAAGGACACAGUUACAGCAACUGAAAUACAAUCGAUUAACAAAAAAAUCAUGAGAUUUACAAUUGAUUAUCAAUAAGAUCU